UACAGAGGGGGCAAGCGUUGUUCGGAAUUACUGGGCGUAAAGGGCGCGUAGGCGGCCUUCUAAGUCGAACGUGAAAUCCCCGGGCUCAACCCGGGAACUGCGUCCGAUACUGAAAGGCUUGAAUUCGGGAGAGGGAUGCGGAAUUCCAGGUGUAGCGGUGAAAUGCGUAGAUAUCUGGAGGAACACCGGUGGCGAAGGCGGCAUCCUGGACCGAGAUUGACGCUGAUGCGCGAAAGCCAGGGGAGCAAACGGG
rnacentral:rRNA from 1 species